UGCGGAGGCAUCAUUACACAAUAAAAUACGAAGGCCGUUCGCGGCUGGACUAUUUAUUACCCUUGUCUUUUGCGCACUUGUUGUUUCCUGGGCGGGUUCGCUCGCCACCAGGACCACAAUAUAAACCUUUUUUAUGCAGUUGCAAUCAGCGUCAGUAUAACAAAUGUAAAUCAUUUACAACUUUCAACAACGGAUCUCUUGGUUCUGGCAUCGAUGAAGAACGCAGCGAAAUGCGAUACGUAGUGUGAAUUGCAGAAUUCAGUGAAUCAUCGAAUCUUUGAACGCACAUUGCGCCCUUUGGUAUUCCAAAGGGCAUGCCUGUUCGAGCGUCAUUUGUACCCUCAAGCUUUGCUUGGUGUUGGGCGUUUUUGUCUUUGGCCCGCCAAAGACUCGCCUUAAAAUGAUUGGCAGCCGGCCUACUGGUUUCGCAGCGCAGCACAUUUUUGCGCUUGCAAUCAGCAAAAGAGGACGGCAAUCCAUCAAGACUCCUUCUCACGUUUGACCUCGGAUCAGGUAGGGAUACCCGC
rnacentral:rRNA from 1 species